rnacentral:rRNA from 1 species
UUACCUACGGGACGCAGCAGUGAGGAAUAUUGGUCAAUGGUCGGGAGACUGAACCAGCCAAGCCGCGUGAGGGAUGAAGGUACAGAGUAUCGUAAACCUCUUUUGUCAGGGAACAAAGGCGGGGACGUGUCCCCGGAUGAGUGUACCUGAAGAAAAAGCAUCGGCUAACUCCGUGCCAGCAGCCGCGGUAAUACGGAGGAUGCGAGCGUUAUCCGGAUUUAUUGGGUUUAAAGGGUGCGUAGGCGGGAUGCCAAGUCAGCGGUAAAAAUGCGGUGCUCA